ACUCCUACGGGAGGCAGCAGUGGGGAAUUUUGGACAGUGGGCGAAAGCCUGAUCCAGCAAUGCCGCGUGAGUGAAGAAGGCCUUCGGGUUGUAAAGCUCUUUUGUCAGGGAAGAAACGGUGAGAGCUAAUAUCUCUUGCUAAUGACGGUACCUGAAGAAUAAGCACCGGCUAACUACGUGCCAGCAGCCGCGGUAAUACGUAGGGUGCAAGCGUUAAUCGGAAUUACUGGGCGUAAAGCGUGCGCAGGCGGUUUUGUAAGUCUGAUGUGAAAUCCCCGGGCUCAACCUGGGAAUUGCAUUGGAGACUGCAAGGCUAGAAUCUGGCAGAGGGGGGUAGAAUUCCACGUGUAGCAGUGAAAUGCGUAGAUAUGUGGAGGAACACCGAUGGCGAAGGCAGCCCCCUGGGUCAAGAUUGACGCUCAUGCACGAAAGCGUGGGGAGCAAACAGGAUUAGAAACCCGGGUAGUCCCAUGAU
rnacentral:rRNA from 1 species